rnacentral:rRNA from 1 species
CCCUGUGAACAUACCUUAAUGUUGCCUCGGCGGAUCAGCCCGCGCCCCGUAAAACGGGACGGCCCGCCAGAGGACCCAAACUCUAAUGUUUCUUAUUGUAACUUCUGAGUAAAACAAACAAAUAAAUCAAAACUUUCAACAACGGAUCUCUUGGUUCUGGCAUCGAUGAAGAACGCAGCAAAAUGCGAUAAGUAAUGUGAAUUGCAGAAUUCAGUGAAUCAUCGAAUCUUUGAACGCACAUUGCGCCCGCUGGUAUUCCGGCGGGCAUGCCUGUUCGAGCGUCAUUUCAACCCUCAAGCCCCCGGGUUUGGUGUUGGGGAUCGGCUCUGCCCUUCUGGGCGGCGCCGCCCCCGAAAUACAUUGGCGGUCUCGCUGCAGCCUCCAUUGCGUAGUAGCUAACACCUCGCAACUGGAACGCGGCGCGGCCAUGCCGUAAAACCCCAACUUCUGAAUGUUGACCUCGGAUCAGGUAGGAAUACCCGCUGAACUUAAGCAUAUCAAUAAGCCGGAGGAAA